AUUUGCUGUUUUUGUGGGAUAAAUAAACACAUAGCCACAGUUUAUUAAAAGUUAUUUAAGUCUUUGUAUACACUGGUGGUUUGAAAGAGUCUGUUAUUUUCACAAAAGUAUCAUGGACUAAAAAACAACAUUUAUUUAGUCUUGGAACAUCAACAAAAAAUUUAAUGGAUAUAGAAAGGAAAGAUGAUUUUAAACAUUGAAUAAGCCAUUUGGUUAAUACUGUAACCAAAAUGAAAGUUUUCAGCGCUGUCAGUUUUGAAAAGAGACUCCGAUAUCUAACACCAUACAUUAUACAUGCUGCCAGACGCUAUUGUAGUAGAACACAUUAUCAAGUUCUAGGCGUUAAUAAAAAUGCCACCGCUGAUGACAUUAAAACAGCUUUUAUACAACAGUCAAAGAAGGUCCAUCCCGAUAUAAAUAAAAACGAUCCAAAGACUCAUGAGAAGUUUGUGAGAUUAAACGAAGCGUAUCAGGUUUUAAGUCAGGAUAAUUCACGAUUAGAUUAUGACAAUAGUUUAGUGGUUUCGAAAUAUGGAGUACAAAGUCCAGGAGUGCCUCCUCAUCGUUAUUACAAUCAAAGACAAGAAGAAUAUUAUGCCAAUAUGCAUUACAAGGCUCAUAAUCAACCUUUUGAACAAGGUCAAUUAAGAAAAGCAUAUCCAACUUCUGUUGUUCUGUUUGGCAUUAUUUUAUGGAUUGUUAUUGGUAGCAUAACACAGUUUUUCAUUAUCAGGGGAACAGCUAGACGGCAUAUAGCUCAAUUAGAUGAACACAGUAGAAAGAAUGUAGCCAUACUAAAAGAUCUUGAAAAAAAUGCAGCACAUAAAAGAAAGAUGUUACAUGAACAGGCGAAAAAAUGGAGAGCAGAGGAAUUAGAUAUAAAAAAAGUUGAUACAUAAUCAAUGUGUGAGAUAAUUGGUACCUGUGAUAAUUAUAAUAGAAUACAUGUGUAAUAUAAAAUAUAUUGAUUAAUGAAGAAAGGAUAAAAGAGGAAAAAAUGGAUAAAAUAGAACUGUGUUUUGGAAACUAUUUUAAAAAUGACAUGCAAAGGAUUAUCAAAUGUGUAAUUACCAACCAGAUGCUUGCAAUAUUUGUGGAUUGAGUUGGUGUAAUACAUCAGAAGAAAAAUAUUGAUACUAGUUUGAGUAAACUUUAAAUGUGCCAAAUCUCUUUGAUUUAGGACAAAAUAAAGUAUUCAGUUAGGUUAAUCUGUUAGCUCUAUACGAUUAAAUUUUCGUUUCGAAAUAUUAAGUGGAAAGUCAGGUUGCCAACUUAAUUUAGACUUAUAUUGGGCUUCAACUAUCGACAGUUGAAUGGUGGAACACAAAGUCAUCUGUUCCUCAACAUUUUAUAGGGUAAUUCAUAUUGAAUCAAGCCAUUAUAUUAAAUUAAAUGUUCCAGCUCUAGAUAUUUAAUGGUAACAUUUCUACAAUAUUUAUUGUAGGUUUGACGAACAUCAGGAAUAAUCUAGUAAUAUUUUUAUUAUAAAUCUAGAGAUAUUGUGUCAGUCUUUUAAUAUGUAAAUAUUAAUCAACCGUGUUUUGUAACUUAAGAUAAAUCAAUUUUAUUGAUGUUCAAACCGACUGUGAAAUAUAAAUUGUAAAUAUGUAGAUAAAACAAGAAUUUAUUGAAAUAUUAAAUUAUUUUGAUUAGUC